rnacentral:lncRNA from 1 species
ACUCAAGGCCUGAUUGGUUCUUCCUAAGCAGGACACGAUCUCGUUGGCAGGGCAACCGGCCUUUAGUUGGUGGCCUUCAGUGGGUGGCUUAAGUUGGUGGCAUUUGGUUGCCUUUCCUGGGGAGAGGCGGCAGGUGCUCAGCUCUGCAGACGUGGGGGCAAGAGAAGGCCCAAGCUGCCUCGAGAAGAGCAGAGGUGCCCCAUGGGGACCAUGAUGACCGGUCGCAUGUGCCAAAGCCAGCCCCCGGCAGGGCCAGCGCAGGGUUUCUGCGGGGCCGUCCUGUGGCUCUGAUAUCUAUGAGUGGGUGGCCAGCAAAGGCACAGGCACCAGCAGAAAGGAGCAGAGAUGCCCAGAACAUGCUGUCCCCCAAUGCCAGCCCCAAGCGAGGCCAGCUUAGGGUGCGGUGGGCAGAGCCAUCCUGCAGCUCUGAGAUCCACGAAGUGGAGGUGGGAGUAGCGCCAGGCUCCACGGCGUUGGAGCUCUCACAACUUGAGCUCAAUUUUAUUCCGGAGCCAUGACCUGCAGCACAUUGGUGACCAGAAGACGCCCAAAGCUUUGAAAAUGGACUUAUCGACCUCAAACCAAUGGGACAUAUUCCUACAUGGCCUUCUCCCCUGUUAGGGUUCCCAGGGUAUGUCUUUAAUGUCUGGUUUAAUAGAAGAAGACUUGGUUCUCCUUUCUGCUUCUAUGUUUAAUUUCUUGUGACAUCCCACGUCA